CCUACGGGUGGCAGCAGUGAGGAAUAUUGGUCAAUGGACGAGAGUCUGAACCAGCCAAGUAGCGUGAAGGAUGACUGCCCUAUGGGUUGUAAACUUCUUUUAUAUGGGAAUAAAAUGUUCCACGUGUGGGAUUUUGUAUGUACCAUAUGAAUAAGGAUCGGCUAACUCCGUGCCAGCAGCCGCGGUAAUACGGAGGAUCCGAGCGUUAUCCGGAUUUAUUGGGUUCAAAGGGAGCGUAGGUGGAUUGUUAAGUCAGUUGUGAAAGUUUGCGGCUCAACCGUAAAAUUGCAGUUGAAACUGGCAGUCUUGAGUACAGUAGAGGUGGGCGGAAUUCGUGGUGUAGCGGUGAAAUGCUUAGAUAUCACGAAGAACUCCGAUUGCGAAGGCAGUUCACUGGACUGCAACUGACACUGAGGCUCGAAAGUGUGGGUAUCAAACAGGAUUAGAUACCCUUGUAGUC
rnacentral:rRNA from 1 species